rnacentral:rRNA from 1 species
UGAACGCUGGCGGCAGGCCUAACACAUGCAAGUCGAACGGUAGCAGAAAGAAGCUUGCUUCUUUGCUGACGAGUGGCGGACGGGUGAGUAAUGUCUGGGAAACUGCCCGAUGGAGGGGGAUAACUACUGGAAACGGUAGCUAAUACCGCAUAACGUCUUCGGACCAAAGAGGGGGACCUUCGGGCCUCUUGCCAUCGGAUGUGCCCAGAUGGGAUUAGCUAGUAGGUGGGGUAACGGCUCACCUAGGCGACGAUCCCUAGCUGGUCUGAGAGGAUGACCAGCCACACUGGAACUGAGACACGGUCCAGACUCCUACGGGAGGCAGCAGUGGGGAAUAUUGCACAAUGGGCGCAAGCCUGAUGCAGCCAUGCCGCGUGUAUGAAGAAGGCCUUCGGGUUGUAAAGUACUUUCAGCGGGGA